GGCCGGGUCCGGUGGGCGGACGGCUCGUGAACCUGGUCAGGGCUUGAUCGCAGCAGCCAUAAGCGUUGUCGCCCGAGCCAACGAUCGCCUGGCCGUC
rnacentral:SRP_RNA from 1 species